rnacentral:misc_RNA from 1 species
GGGAGAUGACGAUGAAGCGGAUUGAGUACCUAUUGGAUAAUGGCGUUUUUAAGGGUUGGCUUACUGACAAAGGAAUUGAAGCUGCGUGGAGGAAGUUUGCGCUGUUUGAGGCAAUUGGGAUUUAUGAUCACUCCCUAGCGAUUAAGCUUGGAGUUCAUUUCCACCUAUGGGGUGGAGCUAUUCAAUUCUUUGGGACAAAGCGUCAUCAUGAUGCAUGGUUAAAGAACACGGAAACUUAUGCGAUUAGGGGUUGCUUUGCAAUGUCUGAGCUCGGUCAUGGAAGUAAUGUUCGAGGAAUCGAAACAGUGACCAAAUAUGAUUCAAGCACUGGAGAAUUUGUUAUUAACACUCCCUGUGAGUCGGCUCAGAAGUACUGGAUUGGCGGGGCAGCCAAGCAUGCAACACAUGCGAUAGUCUUUUCGCAGCUUGACAUAAAUGGGAAAAAUGAAGGUGUCCAUGGUUUUAUAGCCCAGAUCAGGGAUGCAGAUGGUAAUAUCUGUCCAAACAUACGUAUAGCAGAUUGUGGCCAUAAACUGUGUUUGAAUGGGGUUGAUAAUGGUCGGAUCUGGUUUGACAAUGUGAGAAUUCCAAGAGAGAAUUUGUUGAAUUCAGUAGCUGAUGUAUCAGUAGAAGGGAAAUAUCUAAGUGCCACAGAAGACCCGGACAAGAGAUUUGCAGCAUUUAUGGCACCUUUGACAUCUGGUCGUGUAACCAUUGCUGUUUCUGCAAUUUAUUCAGCAAAGGUUGGUUUAGCAAUUGCUAUAAGAUACUCAUUAACGAGGAGAGCCUUCUCACUUACACCAAAUGGGCCCGAAAUCCAAUUGCUAGACUACCCUAGUCAUCAAAAGCGAUUGCUGCCUCUCCUUGCUAAGACAUAUGCUAUGAGUUUUGCU